UUUUCUAACAUGUAAAAAUAAAUUACUUGAAAAAAAUAAAUUAUUUUCUAAAAAUGAAUAUAUGAAAAUUUUCUGACGGACGCCGAACUUUGCUCCAACUUGAUAUACCCUUCCAUACAGCCCACAGUCAAUACAGCUGUUGCAAUCCCGUAACCCCCUCCGUGGCCUGCGGGGGCUGUGUGCAUCAAAUAACAUCAAAUAUCCAGAAACUGUCAGCUGCCAAAUGCUAAAUGCACUCUGAGCCCAGCCGCCAGGCAUUGAACAAUUUUCGCACAAUAGAACACGAAAAAUGCAAUAAAGGCCCGGCAAGUAAGCGAAAAGGGCUGAUUGCUACCCAUCUCAUGGUCAAAGGCCCACAAUUUGGACAAAAAUAAAAUAAAAAUCGAUGCUGGAAUUCGUUUUGUUUGACGUUUGCCGAGUGCAGCUUGCAAUUUGUCUCAAGCAAGCACACAAGCUGCCUGCCUGCAUUGUUAAUGGAGUCUAAAACUAACCGAAAAUGGGUCAAUGAUAAAGCUCUUAAGUGCCCCUACCUUCUGGGGGAGAAAGAUUUCUUGGAACUACAACCAGCCUUGCACAUGAGUGCACAAUCAAAAUUUUCACAAUAUAUAACAUAUCUCUUUUAUUUGGCUAGCAACAAAAAAAAGUUACUGACUUUUGUGGUUAGCUUUUCAGCUAAUUUAUAUUAUUGAAAAACUUUUUGCUUCACAUUUCUUAAAAUAGAACUCAACUGUGCUCUAACAAAAAA